rnacentral:rRNA from 1 species
UUGCUUUCUCGAGCGAGUGGCGAACGGGUGAGUAACGCGUGAGGAACCUGCCUUUCAGAGGGGGACAACAGUUGGAAACGACUGCUAAUACCGCAUGAUGCAUUCGAGGGGCAUCCCUUGAAUGCCAAAGAUUUAUCGCUGAAAGAUGGACUCGCGUCUGAUUAGCUAGUUGGUGAGGUAACGGCUCACCAAGGCGACGAUCAGUAGCCGGACUGAGAGGUUGAACGGCCACAUUGGGACUGAGAUACGGCCCAGACUCC